rnacentral:tRNA from 1 species
GCCGGGGUAGCUCAGUCUGGUUAGAGUGCUGGCCUGUGGAGCCAGUGGUCGCGGGUUCAAAUCCCGCCCCCGGCC